AAAAAAAUUGGAAGCUUCACGAAUUUGCAUGUCAUCCUUGCGCAGGGACCAUGCUAAUCUUCUCUGUAUUGUCUCAAUUUUAGUAUAUGAUUCAGAAAUGAAC